GCAAAUACAACAUUCUAUUGUAGUCAGAGCAUCCGUUACUCAACAAAUCUGUAAGGAACUUUUCUUUCCACCUGCCAGGUAAUAAAACUGAGGCCCCUAAAUAUGAAAUGAUACAAUGAAUUAGUGUCAGAGCCAGAGCUAGUAGAUAGCUGUCUUGGUUUCCAUUUCAGUCUACCUUUUCCCUUGCCUGUGUUGAAGGGAAGCAUCUGAAGACUGCAGUAGUCCUUAGUUCUGAAUGCUCCGUAAGUCUGGGGAAAAGUCACAAAGCUUGAUUGAAAAGAGCAUGUGCAUACACUCUCAGCCUACUCCCACUGCAAGUCUUUACCUCACAAGGUGAUGAAUAAUAGAAAGGUUGUAACUGCAUAGAAGAAUCUUCCAUUUGGCUGGGGAGCUGGAGCUGCAGAGACAGAAAAGAGAAGAACCUAUAGAGGAGUGAAUGAGGAGGAAAAAACUGAGAAGAGAGAGAGAAAGGCAGGAGGCCAUUCCUCUGAUGAAUUCUCCCAUGAAUGAAGAGAGAUGAUUGAUAAAGGGACAUGGGGAACUUACAGUGGAUGAGAGGCCUCUGGAACUUGGUGCUUGAAAAAUCUACUUGCUCUACAUUAGUGAGGAGAUAUUCAUUGAGCAUUUACUAUGUGCAAGGCACUCUGCUGGACCCUUUGAGAGAAAAUGAAACUCUACCCUCAAGAAGCUCAGAGUUAAGAUGUAUCUAUAUUCUAGAGAGACAGUGGGGUGUGUGUGUGUGUGUGUGUGUGUGUGUGUGUGUGUGUGUGUGUGUGUGUGUGUGUGUGUAUAAAACAUUCAAUUUAGAUUGAGGAUCUGGGUUCAGAUUCCACUCUUCUACUUCAUUUCCUCUGUGACUUUGGGAAAAUUGUUUGACCUCUCUGAGCCUCUGUUGGGCCACAGCUGUUCAUCGUCCAGUGUAUAACUGAAAAGUUGUUACCCUAAAAAAAAAAAAACUACAUUACCCAGAAGCCCACUGACUUCCUGUCAUUAUAUACUUCCUGUAGAGAGGGGAUAUUAGGCAAGGACGUGAAGGUCCUGCCUCUUGACUUCCUGUCCUGAGCUUGGUGGUGGUAAGGCUUGCAUUUGAACUGGCUGACCAGCCACAGGCAUGUAGUUUUUAUUUUGUGUCCUCUUUAUUCUUUGAUUUCUAAUGAUCUUUAAUAAACCUCCUAAAUUAUAACA
rnacentral:lncRNA from 1 species